UCGGUGCGUAACUCUUUAUAUAAGAGAUAAUGACGUAUAUAUGAUAGCACGGCUAACUCCGUGCCAGCAGCGCGGUAAUACGGAGGGUGCAAGCGUAUUCGGAAUCACUGGGCGUAAAGGGUGCGUAGGCGGUUUGGAAAGUCAGAUGUGAAGCCUACAGCUUAACUGUAGAACUGCAUUUGAAACUUCCAGACUAGAAUACUGAAGGGGCAGAUGGAAUUAGUGGUGUAGGGGUAAAAUCCGUAGAUAUCACUAGGAAUACCGAAAGCGAAAGCGAUCUGCUGGGAAGUUAUUGACGCUGAGGCACGAAAGCGUGGGGAGCAAACGGGAUUAGAUACCCCGGUAGUCCACGCCCUAAACGAUGAAUGCUAGUCGUCGGAAAGCUCGUCUUUUCGGUGAUGCAGUUAACACAUUAAGCAUUCCGCCUGGGGAGUACGGUCGCAAGAUUAAAACUCAAAGGAAUAGACGGGGACCCGCACAAGUGGUGGAGCAUGUGGUUUAAUUCGAAGAUACGCGAAGAACCUUACCUAGCCUUGACAUUGAUAGAAUCUGGUAGAGAUACCGGAGUGCCUGCUUGCAGGAACUUGAAAACAGGUGCUGCACGGCUGUCGUCAGCUCGUGUCGUGAGAUGUUGGGUUAAGUCCCGCAACGAGCGCAACCCUCGUCGUUAGUUGCUAACAGUUCGGCUGAGCACUCUAGCGAGACUGCCUUCGCAAGGAGGAGGAAGGUGAGGACGACGUCAAGUCAUCAUGGCCCUUAUGGCUAGGGCUACACACGUGCUACAAUGGGGCGUACAGAGAGUUGCGAUACCGCGAGGUGGAGCUAAUCUCAUAAAGCGUCUCUCAGUUCGGAUUGAUCUCUGCAACUCGAGAUCAUGAAGCUGGAAUCACUAGUAAUCGUAGAUCAGCAAUGCUACGGUGAAUACGUUCCCGGGUCUUGUACUCACCGCCCGUCACACCAUGGGAGUUGAUUUCACCCGAAAUCGGGAAGCAAACCUUCGGGAUGCUACCGCUUACGGUGGAAUUAGCGACUGGGGUGAAGUCGUAACAA
rnacentral:rRNA from 1 species